GAUGAACGCUAGCGGGAGGCCUAACACAUGCAAGUCGAACGGGAUUGGGAGCUUGCUCCCAUGAGAGUGGCGCACGGGUGAGUAACGCGUAUGCAACCUACCUUUAACUGAGGGAUAGCCCAUAGAAAUGUGGAUUAAUACCUCAUAGUUCUUUUGGCCCGCAUGGGUUGAUAGAUAAAGCUCCGGCGGUUAAAGAUGGGCAUGCGUGACAUUAGCUAGUUGGUAAGGUAACGGCUUACCAAGGCUACGAUGUCUAGGGGUUCUGAGAGGAUGAUCCCCCACACUGGUACUGAGACACGAACCAAACUCCUACGGGAGGCAGCAGUGAGGAAUAUUGGUCAAUGGGCGCAAGCCUGAACCAGCCAUCCCGCGUGAAGGAUGAAGGCCCUAUGGGUCGUAAACUUCUUUUAUACACCAAGAAAAAUCCCCACGUGUGGGGACCCGACGGUAGUGUAUGAAUAAGCAUCGGCUAACUCCGUGCCAGCAGCCGCGGUAACAC
rnacentral:rRNA from 1 species